rnacentral:rRNA from 1 species
CCCAGACUCCUACGGGAGGCAGCAGUGGGGGAUAUUGCACAAUGGGGGGAACCCUGAUGCAGCGACGCCGCGUGGGUGAAGGAGCGUUUCGGCGCGUAAAGCCCUAUCGGCAGGGAAGAAGGAGGACGGUACCUGACUAAGAAGCCCCGGCUAACUACGUGCCCGCAGCCGCGGUAAUACGUAGGGGGCAAGCGUUAUCCGGAUUUACUGGGUGUAAAGGGGGCGCAGACGGCAGCGCAAGCCAGGAGUGAAAGCCCGGGGCCCAACCCCGGGACUGCUCUUGGAACUGCGCGGCUGGAGUGCAGGAGGGGCAGGCGGAAUUCCUGGUGUAGCGGUGAAAUGCGUAGAUAUCAGGAGGAACACCGGUGGCGAAGGCGGCCUGCUGGACUGCGACUGACGUUGAGGCCCGAAAGCGUGGGGAGCAAACAGGAUUAGAUACCCUGGUA